rfam:Triticum aestivum genome assembly, contig: Triticum_aestivum_CS42_TGACv1_scaffold_320340_4BL
AUCUUACUCCCUCUGUUCGGAAUUACUUGUCACAAAAAUAAAUAAAAAUGAAUGUAUCUACAACUAAAAUACAUCUAGAUACAUUCAUUUCUUGGACGAGUAAUUCCGAACAGAGGGAGUACAAG